rnacentral:lncRNA from 1 species
GGGCAGAUUUCUACCUUUCUUGUCUCCUUCUCUUCCUUAAAUCUCUUCCUAGGCCCUUGUCUUAAAAUCAGACUUGUCCUUACUAUUUUUGGACUUGUCCUAACAAGGAAAGAAAGUGACUAAUGGAACAAUAGGGAGAGGGUGUAAGAAAGAAGAGAUAAAAUUAGAAAUCUGAAUGAAUAAAUCCCUGAUGCUGCCCCCUUUAAAUAGUUAGUGACCAGAUGCAUUCAGAUUUGACUCACGCACUCUCCAUGCAACAUCUCAUGCCC